UCUCAGUUUAUAUUUACUAGUUGAUGGUUUGGGCAGUUGUAUCAACGGGUAAAAGAAGUGAAUUUAGCUUCAUAUAACAAAGGUGAUGUGCAGGAAAAGCCUAGUUCAAUUGUUUGAUCUAAUGGAGGCUGGGCAGCUUGAAGAGUCGUCUCUAUCGCUCCCUGUGAUGCAAUUGCAUAGACAAAGGUUCGGUGGACCUCGGAGGAGAGGAAGCGGCCCUCCUGGAAUCAAGGGCAGAGUACGACUGCGGCUGGAGGAAUCCUUUUACCAAAAUCCAUAUCCAGAAUGCAUAUGCAAAUCAUAAGGUGGAAGCAACGACCGAGCCAGCAUAGGCCAAGUCAUCGCUCCAGCAGGGGCUUGGUCAGUGCCGGACCUCGGCGGAGCGAGGGGGGCUCUGGGGGGAGAAGAAAUGGAGCUUUUAGGAGUUUUAGUAGAUGGAGAAGAAAGAGAAACUUAUAUUUAAGACGAAUUAAUUUUUAACCUAAUGCAAAUUGAGGGAGAAACGUUAAUUUCAUACUAAUACUAAUUCUAAUUCUUUGUUUCUAUAAAUAUCCUUCUUACCUUUCAUUGUAACUUCUUACUCCCUCUUUCCCAAUAAUUAUCCACUUUUGUUAAGGCACAACAGAGUUUUAAGAAAUGUAAAAGAAAGUGAGUUAAAAAAGUUAGUGGAAUAUAAGUCCUACUUUUAUAUUA